rnacentral:rRNA from 1 species
UGCGUAGGCGGACUAAUAAGUCAGUGGUGAAAUCUCUCGGCUCAACCGGGAAACUGCCAUUGAUACUGUUAGUCUUGAGUUCGGUUGAGGUAGGCGGAAUGUGUAAUGUAGCGGUGAAAUGCUUAGAUAUUACACAGAACACCAAUUGCGUAGGCAGCUUACUAGACCGACACUGACGCUGCGGCACGAAAGCGUGGGUAGCGAACAGGAUUAGAUACCCUGGUAGUCC